rnacentral:tRNA from 2 species
GCCGAGGUAGCUCAGGGGUAGAGCAUCCCGCUCGUAACGGGAAGGUCGUGGGUCCAAAUCCCAUUCUCGGCU